CGGAUAUAUAUUCUGUCGCCUCCUGCAUCUGCUUCCAACCAUGUUAAUCUCGGCCGCGCAAUCGCCGGUUCUCCACACGAUCAGCGCGUGCGGGUGAAGGGUGCUUUUUUUUUCUUUGAGGGAAGGGUGCAGGGUGCUGGGCUGCGCUGGUUGGACGACUGCCCGGCUGGCUAGCAAGGAAGGUGUGGCCCAGCAGAAAAGAGAGAGAAAAGAAAGAGGGAAGGUGGGCUGGGCUAGUUUGGGAUGGAAGCAAGAAGGGCUCGGCCCGGAGUGAGGAGAGAGAGACAGGCAUGAUGGGAUUUGGGCCAAUCGCUCCUCGGCCACACACUUGUAGGUC
rnacentral:lncRNA from 1 species